AUGGUUGGACGAAAAAUAUACUUUCUUUAUUUUAUAUAAAUAAAUUAAUUUUUUAGUUAAAAAGCUAAGAUUUUUUUAUAGGACGAGAAGACCCUAUAGAACUUUAUUUUCUACAUAUAUAUAUUUUAUAGAUUUUUAAAAUAUUAUAUAUUAAUAGUUAAUUUAAUUGGGGUGAUUGAAAAAAUUAUAUAACUUUUUCUAUUUCUAUCAUUUAUUUAUGAUGUUUUUGAUCCUUUAAUAUGGAAAAUAAGAUUAAGUUACCUUAGGGAUAACAGCGUUAUUUUUUUGGAGAG
rnacentral:rRNA from 1 species